rnacentral:rRNA from 1 species
GACGAACGCUGGCGGCGUGCUUAACACAUGCAAGUCGAACGGUGACGCACCUUCGGGUGCUGAUCAGUGGCGAACGGGUGAGUAACACGUGGGCAACCUGCCCCUGACUCUGGGAUAACCCCUCGAAAGAGGAGCUAAUACCGGAUACCAUCCCCCUCGGCAUCGUGGGGGGUCGAAAGUCUUUCGGUCAGGGAUGGGCCCGCGGCCUAUCAGCUAGUUGGUGGGGUAAUGGCCUACCAAGGCGACGACGGGUAGCCGGCCUGAGAGGGCGACCGGCCACACUGGGACUGAGACACGGCCCAGACUCCUACGGGAGGCAGCAGUGGGGAAUAUUGCGCAAUGGGCGAAAGCCUGACGCAGCAACGCCGCGUGAGGGAUGACGGCCUUCGGGUUGUAAACCUCUUUCAGCAGGGACGAAGCAACUCGUGACGGUACCUGCAGAAGAAGCGCCGGCUAACUACGUGCCAGCCGCCGCCGUAAAAC